rnacentral:rRNA from 1 species
UACAGAGGUCUCAAGCGUUGUUCGGAUUCAUUGGGCGUAAAGGGUGCGUAGGCGGCGCGGUAAGUCGGAUGUGAAAUCUCGGAGCUUAACUUCGAAACUGCAUUCGAUACUGCCGUGCUUGAGGACUGGAGAGGAGACUGGAAUUUACGGUGUAGCGGUGAAAUGCGUAGAUAUCAGGAGGAACACCAAUGGCGAAGGCAGCACUCUGGGACGUGACUGACGCUGAGACGCGAAAGCGUGGGGAGCAAACAGG